CAGGUCUUGACAUCUCCUGACCACCCUAGAGAUAGGGCCUUCCCUUCGGGGACAGGAUGACAGGUGGUGCAUGGUUGUCGUCAGCUCGUGUCGUGAGAUGUUGGGUUAAGUCCCGCAACGAGCGCAACCCUUGUCCUUAGUUGCCAGCAUUCAGUUGGGCACUCUAAGGAGACUGCCGGCUAAAAGUCGGAGGAAGGUGGGGAUGACGUCAAAUCAUCAUGCCCCUUAUGACCUGGGCUACACACGUGCUACAAUGGAUGGUACAAAGGGUUGCGAAGCCGCGAGGUGAAGCCAAUCCCAUAAAGCCAUUCUCAGUUCGGAUUGCAGGCUGCAACUCGCCUGCAUGAAGCCGGAAUCGCUAGUAAUCGUAGAUCAGCAUGCUACGGUGAAUACGUUCCC
rnacentral:rRNA from 1 species